AGCGAACGCUGGCGGCAGGCCUAACACAUGCAAGUCGAACGAAGUCUUCGGACUUAGUGGCGGACAGGUGAGUAACACGUGGGAACCUUCCCUGUGGUACGGAAUAACUGACCGAAGGGUUGGCUAAUACCGUAUACGUCCGAGAGGAGAAAGAUUUAUCGCCAUAGGAUGGGCCCGCGUCGGAUUAGCUAGUUGGUGAGGUAAUGGCUCACCAAGGCGACGAUCCGUAGCUGGUCUGAGAGGAUGAUCAGCCACACUGGGACUGAGACACGGCCCAGACUCCUACGGGAGGCAGCAGUGGGGAAUAUUGGACAAUGGGCGCAAGCCUGAUCCAGCCAUGCCGCGUGAGUGAUGAAGGUCUUCGGAUUGUAAAACUCUUUCGCCGGGGAAGAUAAUGACGGUACCCGGAGAAGAAGCUCCGGCUAACUUCGUGCCAGCCGCCGCUGUAACAC
rnacentral:rRNA from 1 species